GCCUUUGUGGUGGAAUGGUAGACACAACAGAUUCAAAAUCUGUCGCUCAUAAAAGCGUGCUGGUUCAAGUCCAGUCAAGGGCA
rfam:Orientia tsutsugamushi Boryong complete genome